rnacentral:SRP_RNA from 2 species
UCGUGCUAGACGGGGAACUAGCGGUGCCCUGUAACCCGCAAUCCGCUCUAGCGGGGUCGAAUUCCCACUGGCGGUCCGUCUGGAGGAGACCGGAUUUUAAACCAGUGGCGAUGAAGGUUAGGUCUUGCGCAAUUUACGCACGCCCAACCCCGCCAGGACCGGAAGGUAGCAACGGUAAGCGAAAGCGGAAUGUGCCGCAGGAGAGCCUAACUGGAGCAGGCUGUUUAAAGUCCGCUCCAAAAGAGGAACAAAAGUGGGUGCACGA